UACGUAGGGUGCAAGCGUUGUCCGGAAUUAUUGGGCGUAAAGAGCUCGUAGGCGGUUUGUCGCGUCGAAUGUGAAAACCCGGGGCUCAACUUCGGGCCUGCAUUCGAUACGGGCAGACUAGAGUUCGGUAGGGGAGACUGGAAUUCCUGGUGUAGCGGUGAAAUGCGCAGAUAUCAGGAGGAACACCGAUGGCGAAGGCAGGUCUCUGGGCAUUAACUGACGCUGAGGAGCGAAAGCAUGGGGAGCGAACAGG
rnacentral:rRNA from 1 species